rnacentral:sRNA from 1 species
AUGCACCGCGCGUACCCUCGGGUUCCGGGCGCGCCGUCCACGCCCAUCCGAUGCUUGCUCGCUGCGUCGUGUUAGCC